GAUGAAGAACGUAGCGAAAUGCGAUAAGUAAUGUGAAUUGCAGAAUUCAGUGAAUCAUCGAAUCUUUGAACGCAUCUUGCGCUCCUUGGUAUUCUGAGGAGCAUGCCUGUUUGAGUGUCAUUAAAUUCUCAACUACACUGACUUUGAAUUGGUGUGGCUUGGAUUUGGGGGGAAAAUUGUUGUGGGCUUUUUGUAUAGUCUGCUCCCCUGAAAUUGAUUAGCGGUACCUUUGUGGAACUGUCUACAGGUGUGAUAAUUAUCUACAUCUUAGACAUCUGCUGGAAUGCUGCUUUCUAAACCUUACUUGUAUUGACAAUCUUGACCUCAAAUCAGGUAGGACUACCCACUGAACUUAAGCAUAUCAAUAAGCGGAGGA
rnacentral:misc_RNA from 1 species